GGUUAAGUUAAUAAGGGCGCACGGUGGAUGCCUUGGCACUAGGAGCCGACGAAGGACGUGACAAACGACGAUAUGCCUUGGGUAGCUGUAAGUAAGCGAUGAUCCAGGGAUUUCCGAAUGGGGGAACCCAACAGGUAGUACCUGUUACCCACAUCUGUUAAGGAUGUGAGGAGGAAGACGCAGUGAACUGAAACAUCUAAGUAGCUGCAGGAAGAGAAAGCAAAAGCGAUUGCCUUAGUAGCGGCGAGCGAAACGGCAGAAGGGCAAACCGAAGAGUUUACUCUUCGGGGUUGUAGGACUGCAAUGUGGACUCAAAGAUUAUAGAAGAAUGAUUUGGGAAGAUCAGCCAAAGAGAGUAAUAGCCUCGUAUUUAAAAUAGUCUUUGUACCUAGCAGUAUCCUGAGUACGGCGGGACACGUGAAAUCCCGUCGGAAUCUGGGAGGACCAUCUCCCAACCCUAAAUACUCCCUAGUGACCGAUAGUGAACCAGUACCGUGAGGGAAAGGUGAAAAGCACCCCGGGAGGGGAGUGAAA
rnacentral:rRNA from 1 species